rnacentral:rRNA from 1 species
GACAGAGGUGCCGAGCGUUAGGCGGAAUCACUGGGCUUAAAGCGUGUGUAGGCGGGCGGGCAAGUACCUUGUGAAAUCCCACGGCUCAACCGUGGAACUGCUGGGUAUACUGCUCGUCUUGAGCCGAUCAGGGGCGAGCGGAACAGACGGUGGAGCGGUGAAAUGCGUAGAUAUCGUCUGGAACGCCGAAGGUGAAAACAGCUCGCUGGGAUUGUGCUGACGCUGAGACACGAAAGCCAGGGGAGCGAACGGG